GUGUCAGCAGCCGCGGUAAUACGGAGGGUGCAAGCGUUAUCCGGAUUCAUUGGGUUUAAAGGGUGCGUAGGCUGGGCGGUAAGUCAGUGGUGAAAUCCUGCAGCUUAACUGUAGAAUUGCCAUUGAUACUGCCGUCCUUGAGUGCGCUCGACGUGGGCGGAAUGUGCCGUGUAGCGGUGAAAUGCUUAGAUAUGGCACAGAACACCGAUAGUGAAGACAGCUCACGAGGGCGUUACUGACGCUGAGGCACGAAAGCGUGGGGAUCGAACAGGAUUAGAUACCCUUGUAGUCC
rnacentral:rRNA from 1 species